rnacentral:lncRNA from 1 species
UUCCUGCUGGAGAUCUCUGUCUGAGACCUACACUACCUGAGGCCUUCCAAAGCAGGUCACCAGGAUAGUCCGGAGCACUUGCCCUGAGAGUUGAGGCAGAGAAAAUGGAGCUUGUUCAGCCUGGAGAACAGAAGGCUUGGCAUAGGAGGGACAUCAAAUAUCAGCCUUCCAGUACUUACAGGGAGGUAAUAAGGAAGAUGGAAGCAAACUUUUGAUGAUUAUGCACAAUAUAAGGACAAGAGACAACGGGCAUAAUGUGAAACUUCAGACUGGAUAGAGGGAAACACUUUUUCACCAUGAGGGCUGUCAGGCAGUGAAUCAGAUUGCCCAAAGGUUGUGCAGUUGGAGUUCACAAAGCCUUCACAGAUGGCCCUGCUAGAUUGGACUGGGUAGUAGGCUGGACUGGGUGACUCACUAAGUAUUUCUAUACCCCUAUGGUCAACUUAGAAACCACCCAGAAUCUGCAAAACUGAUAAGAAGCAAUUAUUUUCAGUAUGAGUACUGAUCUAAAUAUGGCUAUUAACACUAUGCAGAUAGGUAAUUUCCUUGGCACAAAAACUUUCACUAUAUAAUUAACUUCAUAGAUUUGUGCCUCAAUCCAUACUAAACAAAUUAUAUGCAGUGAUUUCUCCAUGUGCAUCCAGCAACAGUAUGGCAAGAACUAUAAAAAAUAAUAAUUUCUGUGAAUUUAAUUUAACAAAAUACUGUUGUUUCAGUGCACCCAGAAUGAUCCACAAUUUUUAAUUAUAUUUGGUAAGAGAAAGAAAAUUGAUUUGUAUUUACAGGCAUUCUGGGGAAAACAAAAUGUGCUAUUCAGUUCAGCAGCUAGUGCUUAGUGACUGAAUAGCAAGGUCGGACUUCUUUCUGGUUUGUUUGUUUGCUUUUCUCUUGGUUCUUUUUUGAAAGGAUUUGAAUGUCUAUGUAUGUCUCUAAAAUGCGUUUUUAUCCCAGAUCUUAUGGGAUAUGGAGUGCGCGGUGAUAGGGAGAAGGCAGUAUUUUCGAUCUAUUGUACUGACUUGCAAGUCAAGGUAAAUACAGGUUAAUAAAUGAAAAGGAAAAAGAGAAAAGAAAACAAAUGAUGCAAAGGCAAUCACUCACCAUCUCCCACCAGCUUACCGAUGGCCAGUCAGACUCUGAUCAAUGGCUAUUUUGGCAAAACUCCACCUCUGCACACCACCCUGUUUUCAUGCUGAGCAUGAUGCUAUAUGGUGUGGAAUAUCUCUUCAGUCACUUUGGGUGAGCUCUACUAGCUGCACAUCUUCCCAGUCUCUUGCCUGCUCCCAAGCUACUCAUUAGGAUGGGAGAGUGAGAAACAGAAAAAGCCUUGACACUGUGUAAGCACUGGUGAGAAGCGGCUAAACUACUGGUGCAUUAUCAGCAUCGUUUUGGUCACAAAUCCAUAAUGCAGCACCAUACAGGGCACUAUGAAGAAAACUAACUCCAUCUCAGUCAGAUCCAGUACAGUGAAAAUAGAGCACAACCCCUUUAAAACUUUGGUAUCUUAAGAAAUGCUGAUAAUUAUCAGGAGAAAGACAAGUACUAGGGAUCAUUUGGACUAGAUCCUUCAACCACAUAGCUCAAACAAUCAGUUCUUGAAGAGGCCAACCUUCCUGGUCAGCUAUUUUAGUUAAAAAAAAAAAAAAUUCUGGAAACACUAUGUAAAAUAUUUGCAGUAACAAAUGAAGUGAAACACAGUAUCAUACACAAUCUGUGCUUAACAGAGAAUGCCUUAAUGCAGGAGGAAACUAUGGAUUUUGUGUAAAUAAGUAUCAGCCCUUGGUGAAUGCUCACUGGGUAAUUAGUUGUACAACAGCAAGAUAACAUUCAAAAAUGGAUACUAUCUUGUGAAGUGUUAAUAACUUGCUAUCAAAUAGUAAAAAGAAACUUGAUAUGAGCCAAGUAAUUAUUUGUUCUUUGAAGAACUAUGUAAUUCUGAACUGUAAAUAUAUUUUUUUUCUGGUGAUAUUUCUGUCAUUCCUUUUGGGAUGACAAUGGUAGAUGUACAGUGUCUCCCACAGCUGACACUCCCUAUAUUCACAAAUGGUAGAAUUCUGGGACAGGUUU